UAAUUUCAUGUGCAACUAGGCCCGCACCCGCGCUACAGCGCGGGGGAAAAGUGUCGGUUUUUGUUUUUUUUUCGAAUUACGUAAACUUUUAACUGUUAAAAUAGAUUGUUGGUGUUGAAUUUGCCAAGUAUGAGAAUAUGUACUAUCGUGGAUGUGUACUUUGUCACGUAUGCUAGGUUCAGAUCCGCGCUACAGCGCGAAAGAAUAUUUU
rnacentral:lncRNA from 1 species